rnacentral:lncRNA from 1 species
CCAAAUGGGACCUUUUUUAUUUCCAACUCUAUUAUUCCAAUAAUAAUAAUAAUAAUCCAAUAAUAAUAAUCCAAUUAUUUAAUUAAAUUAAUAUUAUACUAUUAACUUAAAUUAAAUAAUUAUCAUAUUUUAUCGGGGUGUUACAACUCUCCCCCACUAAAAGAGUUUUCGUCCUCGAAAACAUACCUCAAGCGAAUAACUCAGGAUAAGACUCCUUCAUCUGACUCUCAAG